UCAGCCAUGCCGCGUGUGUGAAGAAGGCCUUUUGGUUGUAAAGCACUUUAAGCGAGGAGGAGGCUACCUAGAUUAAUACUCUGGGAUAGUGGACGUUACUCGCAGAAUAAGCACCGGCUAACUCUGUGCCAGCAGCCGCGGUAAUACAGAGGGUGCGAGCGUUAAUCGGAUUUACUGGGCGUAAAGCGUGCGUAGGCGGCUGAUUAAGUCGGAUGUGAAAUCCCUGAGCUUAACUUAGGAAUUGCAUUCGAUACUGGUCAGCUAGAGUAUGGGAGAGGAUGGUAGAAUUCCAGGUGUAGCGGUGAAAUGCGUAGAGAUCUGGAGGAAUACCGAUGGCGAAGGCAGCCAUCUGGCCUAAUACUGACGCUGAGGUACGAAAGCAUGGGGAGCAAACAGGAUUAGAUACCCUGGUAGUCCAUGCCGUAAACGAUGUCUACUAGCCGUUGGGGUCUUUGAGGCUUUAGUGGCGCAGCUAACGCGAUAAGUAGACCGCCUGGGGAGUACGGUCGCAAGACUAAAACUCAAAUGAA
rnacentral:rRNA from 1 species